UACGUAGGGGGCAAGCGUUGUCCGGAUUUAUUGGGCGUAAAGAGCGUGUAGGCGGUCAGGUAGGUCGGUUGUGAAAACUGGAGGCUCAACCUCGAGAUGUCGAUGGAAACCGUCUGGCUAGAGUCCGGAAGAGGAGUGUGGAAUUCCUGGUGUAGCGGUGAAAUGCGCAGAUAUCAGGAAGAACACCUAUGGCGAAGGCAGCACUCUGGGACGGUACUGACGCUGAGACGCGAAAGCGUGGGGAGCGAACAGG
rnacentral:rRNA from 1 species